rnacentral:rRNA from 1 species
AUUGAACGCUGGCGGCAUGCCUUACACAUGCAAGUCGAACGGUAACAGGUCUUCGGAUGCUGACGAGUGGCGAACGGGUGAGUAAUACACCGGAACGUGCCCGAUCGUAGGGGAUAACGGAGCGAAAGCUUUGCUAAUACCGCAUACGAUCUACGGAUGAAAGCAGGGGACCGCAAGGCCUUGCGCGGACGGAGCGGCCGAUGGCAGAUUAGGUAGUUGGUGGGAUAAAAGCUUACCAAGCCGACGAUCUGUAGCUGGUCUGAGAGGACGACCAGCCACACUGGGACUGAGACACGGCCCAGACUCCUACGGGAGGCAGCAGUGGGGAAUUUUGGACAAUGGGCGAAAGCCUGAUCCAGCCAUGCCGCGUGCAGGAUGAAGGCCUUCGGGUUGUAAACUGCUUUUGUACGGAACGAAAAGCCUCUUUCUAAUAAAGAGAGGUCAUGACGGUACCGUAAGAAUAAGCACCGGCUAACUACGUGCCAGCCGCCGCAGUAAAAC